GACGAACGCUGACGGCGUGCCUAAUACAUGCAAGUAGAACGCUGAAGAGAGGAGCUUGCUCUUCUUGGAUGAGUUGCGAACGGGUGAGUAACGCGUAGGUAACCUGCCUUGUAGCGGGGGAUAACUAUUGGAAACGAUAGCUAAUACCGCAUAACAAUGGAUGACACAUGUCAUUUAUUUGAAAGGGGCAAUUGCUCCACUACAAGAUGGACCUGCGUUGUAUUAGCUAGUAGGUGAGGUAAUGGCUCACCUAGGCGACGAUACAUAGCCGACCUGAGAGGGUGAUCGGCCACACUGGGACUGAGACACGGCCCAGACUCCUACGGGAGGCAGCAGUAGGGAAUCUUCGGCAAUGGGGGCAACCCUGACCGAGCAACGCCGCGUGAGUGAAGAAGGGUUUCGGAUCGUAAAGCUCUGUUGUAAGUCAAGAACGGGUGUGAGAGUGGAAAGUUCACACUGUGACGGUAGCUUACCAGAAAGGGACGGCUAACUACGUG
rnacentral:rRNA from 1 species